rnacentral:rRNA from 1 species
AGAGUUUGAUCCUGGCUCAGGAUGAACGCUGACAGAAUGCUUAACACAUGCAAGUCAACUUGAACUUCGGUUUGGGUGGCGGACGGGUGAGUAACGCGUAAAGAACUUGCCUCACAGUUAGGGACAACAUUUGGAAACGAAUGCUAAUACCUGAUAUUAUGAUUUUAGGGCAUCCUAGGAUUAUGAAAGCUAUAUGCGCUGUGAGAGAGCUUUGCGUCCCAUUAGCUAGUUGGAGAGGUAACGGCUCACCAAGGCGAUGAUGGGUAGCCGGCCUGAGAGGGUGAACGGCCACAAGGGGACUGAGACACGGCCCUUACUCCUACGGGAGGCAGCAGUGGGGAAUAUUGGACAAUGGACCGAGAGUCUGAUCCAGCAAUUCUGUGUGCACGAUGAAGUUUUUCGGAAUGUAAAGUGCUUUCAGUUGGGAAGAAAAAAAUGACGGUACCAACAGAAGAAGUGACGGCUAAAUACGUGCCAGCAGCCGCGGUAAUACGUAUGUCACGAGCGUUAUCCGGAUUUAUUGGGCGUAAAGCGCGUCUAGGUGGUUAUGUAAGUCUGAUGUGAAAAUGCAGGGCUCAACUCUGUAUUGCGUUGGAAACUGUAUAACUAGAGUACUGGAGAGGUAAGCGGAACUACAAGUGUAGAGGUGAAAUUCGUAGAUAUUUGUAGGAAUGCCGAUGGGGAAGCCAGCUUACUGGACAGAUACUGACGCUAAAGCGCGAAAGCGUGGGUAGCAAACAGGAUUAGAUACCCUGGUAGUCCACGCCGUAAACGAUGAUUACUAGGUGUUGGGGGUCGAACCUCAGCGCCCAAGCAAACGCGAUAAGUAAUCCGCCUGGGGAGUACGUACGCAAGUAUGAAACUCAAAGGAAUUGACGGGGACCCGCACAAGCGGUGGAGCAUGUGGUUUAA